GGGAGGAGGCAGAUCUGGGUUCAAAUGGGGAAGGUAGUAGAUUUGGGUUCGAAAGGGGAGGUAGUAGAAGAAGAAGAAGCCACCGCUGUUGCUCUGCUUCUGGGCUCGAACGGGGAAAGUAGCAGAUCUGGGUUUGAAAAGGGAGGUAGAAGAAGAAGAAGAAUGAGAAGCCACCGCUGUUGCUCUGUUACUGUGUUCGAGCGAAGGUAGUAGAUCUGGGUUCGAAAGGGGAGGUAGAAGAAAGAUAUGGGCUCCAAAAGGGGAGGUAAAAGAAGAAAGAUAUGGGCUCAAAAAGGGGAGGUAGCAAAUCUGGGUUCAGGAGAAGCCACCACCACUGCUCGAAUGGAGGUAGCAGAUUUGGGUUUGAAAGCCACCGCUGCUGCUCCUCUUCUAGGUUCAAUCGAAUGUAGCAGAUCUGGGUUCAAAAGCCACCACUGCUGCUCUGCUUUGCUUCUGUAACAAUGCUUUUUUAAUUUUUUCCACCGGGGUCACACGGUUUUGAUUCGACCCCAAAUCCACAAUUUUGAAAUAUGAGAUCCCACAUUUUUCUCGUCCCCGUUCCAUAAACAAAACGGAGCCUAAAAGAAUGAACUCGUGGCAGCGAAUAAAAAAUGGCCAGUUUCUCUACCCGCGCCCUACGGCAGCAGCACAUAGAAGAUGGCGGGUAAAGUGUGGCAAGAAAUCCGAGUCCGGAUAUGUUGACAAGCAUCCAAUCGCACAUUUGAACAUCGGUUGUGUUGUGGUUAGCGAUAUUCUAGACGCACGGCUGGAUGAUCGUGGCCAGCAAUUUGUUGUGAUCAGCAGAUCCGAAUUCAGGAAAUCCGGUUUGGUUUUUCGUUAGCCGAUGUCAUAUCUUCCUCUCUUUCGUCUCUCGCUCGCUCGCAACUUUUUCCCGCUCCAAGAGCAGACGUAAUUUGGGUUGCGCAUAUCGUGCUUCACAGACUCACAGUUCGAAUUCUCUCCUAGCAGAGGGACUUGGGGUUUAGGGUUUUAAACUUAAUACGACUUUCCACAUUUCGUCUCAUCUUCUUACCCCGAUCACAGACAUACCGUCUUUUUUAGGGUUAGGGUUUCGAACUCCAGUCUAAAUGGCGGCCCCUGCAGUUCAACAGCCUCGCUCUGCUUCUUCCAAGACUGAGAGCUAUGUCGACAACAAGCGCAAAGAGGACAUACGUCAGGCCAACAUUGUCGCUGCCCGAGCUGUCGCCAACGCUGUCCGUACCAGCCUCGGUCCCAAAGGUAUGGACAAGAUGAUCUCCACUGCCUCCGGUGAAGUUAUCAUCACCAACGACGGCGCUACUAUCCUUAAUAAGAUGGAAGUACUCCAGCCUGCUGCCAAGAUGCUUGUAGAACUCUCCAAAUCUCAGGACGUCGUCGCUGGUGACGGAACCACCACUGUUGUUGUCAUCGCUGGAGCCCUCUUAAAGCAAUGCCUCUCUCUCCUUAAUAAGGGCAUCCACCCCACUGUUAUCUCCGAUGCUCUUCACAAAGUCUCUCUAAAAGCUGUUGAUGUACUCACGGCCAUGGCCGUGCCUGUCGAACUCUCUGAUCGGGAAUCGCUUAUCAAGUCUGCCAGCACUUCUCUUAACAGCAAAGUAGUCUGUCAGUACUCCACUCUUCUCGCUCCUCUUGCCGUUGAUGCUGUUCUAUCUGUCGUGGACCCCGCCAAACCUGAUCUUGUUGAUCUUCGUGAUGUCAAGAUCGUUAAGAAGCUCGGCGGCACUGUCGAUGACACUGAGCUUGUUAAGGGUCUGGUGUUCGACAAGAAAGUUAGUCAUUCUGCUGGUGGUCCUACGCGUAUGGAAAAUGCGAAGAUUGCUGUUAUCCAGUUCCAGAUUUCGCCCCCAAAGACUGACAUCGAGCAGAGUAUCGUUGUUUCGGAUUACACCCAGAUGGAUCGGAUUUUGAAAGAGGAGCGUAAUUAUAUUCUCGGUAUGAUUAAGAAAAUUAAGGCUACUGGGUGUAAUGUAUUGCUGAUUCAGAAGAGUAUUUUGAGGGAUGCUGUGACGGAUCUUUCAUUGCAUUAUCUUGCCAAAGCGAAGAUUUUGGUUGUCAAGGAUGUUGAGCGCGAUGAGAUUGAGUUCAUUACGAAGACUUUGAAUUGUCUGCCAAUUGCUAAUAUAGAGCAUUUCCGUGAGGAGAAGUUGGGGCGUGCAGAUUGUGUCGAGGAGGUUUCUCUUGGAGAUGGGAAAAUUGUGAAGAUUACGGGUAUUAAGGAUAUGGGGAGGACGACCACAGUGCUCGUUCGAGGUUCUAAUCAGUUGGUUAUUGAUGAGGCUGAACGAAGCUUGCAUGAUGCCUUGUGUGUCGUCAGAUGCUUGGUGAACAAGAGGUUCUUGAUUGCAGGUGGUGGUGCACCAGAGGUAGAGCUUUCAAGGCAGCUUGGUGCAUGGUCGAAGGUAUUGCACGGGAUGGAGAGUCACUGUGUCCGGUCGUUUGCGGAAGCCCUUGAAGUUAUUCCAUAUACUUUGGCGGAGAAUGCAGGUUUGAAUCCAAUAGCUAUUGUCACAGAGCUCCGGAAUCGCCAUUCUCAGGGAGAGAUAAAUGCUGGUAUCAAUGUGAGAAAGGGGCAGAUCACAAACAUACUGGAGGAGAACGUGGUGCAGCCAUUGCUUGUCAGCACUAGUGCCAUCACAUUGGCGACUGAGUGCGUCCGGAUGAUUCUGAAGAUAGAUGACAUAAUUACUGUGAGAUAGACGUGAUUAUGUGCAAGGUCAGCGAACUACCGGAGCAGUUUUGGUCUUGUUAUGAUUUUGUGUGCUUACAUUUUAAGUGGUUCUUUUCUGUUUCUCUAUUGGAAGUGAGUAUGCCAAAUGGUCUCAGCCUUAUCGCGUUUUCCCAGACCUUUCAAGGUGAAUCACAACCGUGGUGAAUUUCAAGGAAUAAAAGUUAGUGGCACUAUCAUGGUUCUUUGCUAGCUUAUUGCUAAGGAUGUAUGCAAGAGUGGCAAUCUACAAGUAUAUUGUUGGUGUUACUAACCUUAUUUACAUGCGAGUCAUGAGUGGUUGAUUGUUGGCUUGUGAGGAAGAAUUAAGGUUAGGAGUUGUUGAAGCAUGGUUUUCUGUAUGUUGAUCAGUUGUAGAAGAAAGGUUUUCAGAUAUGUUAAUGCUUUUUCUUAUAUGGUUUUACUCACGGAGUUAACCUCACAUUUUAAGACAUCAAAGCUUUAAAAUUUGUACGGUGUCACUUUAAGUGCAUUUGGUGAAUAUAUAAGGCUGCGUUUGGAAUCA